GAGGGUAUAGCUCAGUGGUAGAGCACUUGCUCAGCAUGCACGAGGUCCUGGGUUCAAUCCCCAGCAUCUCCA
rfam:Camelus ferus unplaced genomic scaffold scaffold660, whole genome shotgun sequence.